UCCUUUAGCCCAGCCCACACCGCUGGAAAUAGGCCCUUUAUGAGAUUCUCUUGUAAAUCCUAGAAGAGUGUACCCUCCAUUUCCCGAAGAAUCCUGACAACCAAAAAUCAGGAGCAGACUAUGUAUACAAGUCUGGAAUGGAGGACUUUCCAUUCCAGACGAAAGACUGGCCAUUUUCAACUCUUCUUCCUUUUGAGACCUCACUAAAAUUAGAGGAACAGAAUUUAAAAAUACAUUACAUCUCCACGAUAAAGAGAACAGGAAAGGAAACAUCAACAGACAAGGGGAUUUGACAGAUAUUUUUGGAGGGAAGAAACGGUGGAGCAGAGGUAAUAAUUAAGCCGAUUGGAGAGAGGCUGGCCUGCAGACCGAGUGAGACAAGUUCCUGGCACUGGAGAGGCUGCUGCCUGGAUCCCUCCCCCAACACAUGAAAUCAGGAAAUCACCACUCCUCUUGCCCCAGGCCAGAGACUACAUUUCUAUAGACAUGGAAGGUAGAGGCUGAGGACCUGGACCCCAGGCACAGGUGAGAGGAGAGGCUUUGCGCUAAAGAGAGAGACAGAGAAGGAGGUGGGGAAGAAGAAAGGAAAGAAAGGAGGAAGAGAGAAGGCCGGGCGCGGUGGCUCACUCCUGUAAUCCCAGCACUUUGGGAGGCCGAGGUGGGCGGAUCACAAGGUCAGGAGAUCGAGAC
rnacentral:antisense_RNA from 1 species